rnacentral:lncRNA from 1 species
ACUUAGAUAAAAAUAAUAUCAAACACUUUUAUUUAUAAAUCACUACUUAACAUGGCUAUUCGGGAGCUACUUAUAAGUUAGUCAAACCAACUUAUAAGUACCUUUCUAAUGUUCUACAGUUCGUUUCCUACUUAAAUUGUGACUUAUUUUUUGAUUUAUAAGUCAAAAAUAAUAAGUAACAAUUUCUAACUUACUGAAAAAUGACUUAUACGUCAUUCUCAAUAAGUCGGUUUGAUCAGAUGUAAUGACCAUAGUACCCUUUCUAUUUUGAUAAAUUACAUACUUCUCAUCGAUGUCGGUGCUCUUUUCGAUAUCUCCGACUCGUUUUCGUCGUCGCUUCCCAGUCUGAUACUUAAGCCUCAGCAGCAACACCAUCAGGAUCUUCAUUUUCACAUCUGAACUUUCCUAUCUGUUCUUCUUCAAGGACGAUUGUGUUGUCUUCAUCAACGAACGUGAUUAAAGAUGAAAAAUGGGACUGUUUAUGUUUAUAGAAGGGAGAGAAAGGGAAAGAUGAUGAAGGGAGUGAAAAGGAGCAGGAGAAUUGAUGGAUUUUGAUGAGUUUGAACGAACUGAAAGAGAUAAUGAACAAUUUAAUAAGGUUUUGUGCUGAAGUUUGGUCCAAGGAGUGUGCUGAAAUUUGGUCUAGGGAGUGAGCUGAGAGGACAAGGAAGAGGAAACAGAACUUUUUUUACUUUUAUUGGGCUAAUAGUCCAACCUCCAAAAUGGUCUGCUUAUGUAUAGGGUAAAAUAUUUUCAAUAUUUACAUUGAUAAUUAGUUUUAUAUUUCACUUAACAAUGCAAAUUAAUUUGUAAAUUAGAUUUACAUUGAUUAUUAGAGAAUUUACUUAUUGUUUAUUGUAAUUGUGGACGAUUGUCAUGAUAUGACAUUGAAUCAAUCAAUGUAACUUUUUAUAAUAUUUUUUUAGUAAUUAUU